rnacentral:rRNA from 1 species
AAAGGCGUAAUGAAAGUGAAGGUUCGCCUAGCGCGAACCGAGGGAGGAUGGACGGUCCAUUGCGGCCGUCCCGCACUCCCUGGGCGUCUCGUUCUCAUCGCGAGAAGAGGCGCACCAAGAGCGUACACGCUGGGACCCGAAAGAUGGUGAACUAUGCCUGGUCAGGACGAAGUCAGGGGAAACCCUGAUGGAGGUCCGUAGCGAUUCUGACGUGCAAAUCGAUCGUCGGAACUGGGUAUAGGGGCGAAAGACUAAUCGAACCAUCUAGUAGCUGGUUCCCUCCGAAGUUUCCCUCAGGAUAGCUGGCGCUCGCUUCUCGCGAGUCUCAUUCGGUAAAGCGAAUGAUUAGAGGCAUUGGGGUCGAAACGGCCUCAACCUAUUCUCAAACUUUAAAUGGGUGAGAUCUCCGGCUUGCUUGAACUGUGAAGCCGCGAGAUAUCGGAUCAGAGUGCCAAGUGGGCCACUUUUGGUAAGCAGAACUGGCGCUGUGGGAUGAACCAAACGCCGAGUUAAAGCGCCUAAAUCGACGCUUAUGGGA